ensembl:lncRNA
AAACAUAAGAAAUUAUUUUGUUAAUCACCAGCACUAUUAAUUUAGGGCGUCUUUAGCAUAAAUCUUGCAUUAGGUGGUGGACUAAUAAAUGUGUUAAACUGUGUACUGUAUAUACUUAUAUAUUUUAUGAAUACAUGCUGGCAAUUAAAAUCUCUUCACAAUGCAAAUCUUCAAAACAAAUUUUCUAUACUGACAUCAUAUCACCACUAGAUGACACCAGAGAUCUUUCCAGUGCAGUUUUUUAAGUUGGCGAGCUCCAGAUAAAGAAGAGACACAUAUUAUGAAGCUAAAUAUCAUAAUAUAGGAAUAAAUUGGGGGGGGAGGGAGCACCAGGAUUAAGCUUAAAGCAAAGCAAAAACUAUCCAUGGUCAAGCAACAGUAUCUUUUUGUUCUCCAUUCACAUGUUCAGCCACAACAAGAGAUUUUUUUUGAUCAUCAGUUUUGGAAGUCUCAUGUUAAAAUAUGUCCAUAACAUGUAUGCUGUUGGAUGUACGUAAACUAUUUUAUUUGACAUUGUGAUAAAUUCAUUACAUUUUACUUACUAGAAAAUGAAUUUUAAAGAGUACUUUACAGUUGAGGAUAUUGAGCUUUUACUUUGUGAGUGGGAAAAAAAAACAGCUUAAAUAUCACUCUCUAAUUUAGCCAAUUUACUGAUAAUCAAAAAUAUAGUAAUUACACUAAUCUCAAGAAACCCAUCAGACAUUCUUGGUUCAGAAUGGCCACUUCAAAUCUCAAGCCACUCUUCCUCAAGGAAUAAAGCAAAGAGUAUCAAGGUAACCUGAACACAUUUUAUUUAACUACAAGACCGCGGCAGUUGAACGGUUUGAGGUAGUUAAUCUUCAAGGGAGCGUCAACGACCAGUAUGGAGAUUAGAUUUGCGUUUCCAUCAGGACUGGACCAAAGAUUUAAUCAUUCCUCGGUGUACCAAAGCAGAGAUCUUGUCGAGGUCGAAUGUUGCCAGAUUUGAAGUUAAUCUUCAGGACGUAUCCAUGUUUGCGGAUCAGCGGCUUGGCAGUGCCCUCAGUUGAGCGCCUGUAUGGGAAGGAUCUUCAACUGUGUCGAGUGAGCCGAUGACACAGUGAGCGACAGCGGAAACGAGGCGAAUUUGAUUUCAGAAUUAAAGCACUGAAAUAAAAGGUGUUUCGGACAGAGGAUGCCAAAUGAGUCAUCAACAUAUUUAUGUGAUUAAAGCCUCGGGAAAAUAAAAACACACUUUGCUCAGUAUAAAAAUGAGGGACAUUCAUGGCUAUGUAUUUUAUUGGGGGA